rnacentral:lncRNA from 1 species
AAAGGAAGCAGCCACUGAAAAAACGAGACUGAGAGGAGGUAAUUGCUGAACCAGGACCAAAGGAGGCAGGAGAAUAUCACGCAUGGAUGGAAACAUCACAUCCUGUGAAACAGAAUGGAUUUCUGGCAAAGACGACUGCAGAUAGAGACCUGUUCAUCUAUGGAGAGUGAGAAUAAAAGCAUUGUGUGAUGAAGGAUUGGCAUUGCCACUGAUGGAAUUGCAGGAAAAGUCCACUAACAGUUGGAAGCAGUUAGUGGCAUUAAUCUAUCAUUUCUGUGAUUUUCUCCAGCAGCUGAAAUGCAUGAGUUUAAAAGUGGAUGCCAUGAGGCCAAAAAGUCUCACAAUCUGUUGUCCUGCAAGAUGGAGAAUCAGGAAAGCUGGUGGUAUAUUUCAGCACAAGUCUGAAGGCCUAAGAAACAGGGGGCCACUGGUAUAAGUCAUGGAGUCCAAAGGCCCAGGAACCAGGAGCUCCAAUGUUCCACGGUAGGAGAAGAUGAACAUCCCAACUAAAA